rnacentral:rRNA from 1 species
GACGAACGCUGGCGGCGUGCUUAACACAUGCAAGUCGUACGGUAAGGCCCUUUCGGGGGUCCACGAGUGGCGAACGGGUGAGUAACACGUGAGUAACCUGCCCACAACUUUGGGAUAACGCUAGGAAACUGGUGCUAAUACUGGAUAUGUGCCCCUGCUGCAUGGUGGGGGUUGGAAAGCUCCGGCGGUUGUGGAUGGACUCGCGGCCUAUCAGCUUGUUGGUGGGGUAGUGGCCUACCAAGGCGGCGACGGGUAGCCGGCCUGAGAGGGUGACCGGCCACAUUGGGACUGAGAUACGGCCCAGACUCCUACGGGAGGCAGCAGUGGGGAAUAUUGCACAAUGGGCGCAAGCCUGAUGCAGCAACGCCGCGUGCGGGAUGACGGCCUUCGGGUUGGAAACCGCUUUCAGCAGGGACGAAGCUUUUUGUGACGGUACCUGCAGAAGAAGCACCGGCUAACUACGUG